UUUCUUCCAGCGCACAUCUAAAGGGCUCUAGCAUACAUUGGUUUUAGUUAUAUGCACUGGUGAUUAGGGAUUAUGCCACUCAAGUGGUUGGCGCUUGCUCUCAGGGAUGAUGUGAGUCACCCAGUUCUCAUCACCAGUUGCAAUCCGAUCAAGAAAGGUGUCUCCAUCUGCGCAAUAUCUGGUCAGGAGUGUCAAUGCUGAGCCACAGAACGCGGCCACCGUGCACAAAUUUUUUUAUAGCCGAGAUGUUGUGACACGAUUUCCCCAUGCAAAAGAACGAGAAAUGUCUGGAAACACAAUGUGGCAAUUCAUUCAGAGUUACGCGCCUGUCUUGUAAGAUUCUGUUGUUUACUACGGUCUUCAGGUCUUCUGAGAUGAGUGAUGGGUGUCCAGGUCGAGUUUCAUUGUGCGCACUUGUUUGUCCAUUGUUGAACAUUUCACACCUAUGCUUUAUUUCCCACAUUUUUUUAGUGUAUUACAUUAUCACUGUAUACUGCUUUCAUUUGGUGGUAAAUUUCUGCCGGUUUCACCUUUUGAGCAUUCAGAAAUGAAUAACACUCCAUACUCAACAGGUGGUGGGAUUUUCAAUCAUGCAGUUCAUUUUUACUAUUAUGUAACGGUCAAAACUGCACAAGGAUGACUACUUGCAACCUCCACUCACAGUGUUACGAGCACAGCUGUUAUGGAAGCCAGUUGACACUGAAGAGAGAAUGUAUAUAUGUAAAAGAAUUGUUUUCCCAUUAAAUAUUGUGUUUUUUAU